AGCAAAGUCUCAGAUUUCAAAUGACGUCCAUCUUAUUAUGAGAUUCAAAAAAUAAAUACCGUUUUGGCGCUGUUUAAUGUCACGUGACAGAUCGCUGUAGCGCCUCAGUUAAACAGAAGCGGCAGCACGAGCGCAUGUGAACAUCCUCUCCUCCGCUUUAAUACCAGUUACAGCGCGAAAUAAACAUGAAUAAACAUCUGAAGCAGAGAUGGACAGUGUGAGAGUAAAGAGAGCAGCUGAUUUGGUGGCUUGCAUUGUGGGCCGUGGAAAGGUAUUUAUGAUGCUGUCUGCAGAUCCUGCUGGCCCACUGCAGCCUGACUCUGGCUCUGAGUCAUAUACUAUCACAGAUAGAAAGAAAGAGAUAAAGAGAAGAGAUUAUGUCUGAGGACAUAUCCUGGGGGUUUGGGGAAAAUGUUUGGUAAUCUGUGAUCUGAACAUCAGCCCUUAAGAGAUUAGUUCACCCAAAAAUGAUUGUUCAAUUAAAAAUUAAAAGUUUUUGCUCAUGUCAUUUCAAAA